rnacentral:rRNA from 1 species
UACGGGGGGGGCAAGCGUUGUUCGGAAUUACUGGGCGUAAAGGGCUCGUAGGCGGCCAACUAAGUCGGAUGUGAAAUCCCCAGGCUUAACCUGGGAACUGCAUCCGAUACUGGAUGGCUUGAAUUCGGGAGAGGGAUGCAGAAUUCCAGGUGUAGCGGUGAAAUGCGUAGAUAUCUGGAGGAAUACCGGUGGCGAAGGCGGCAUCCUGGACCGACAUUGACGCUGAUGCGCGAAAGCCAGGGGAGCAAACGGG